GAUGAACGCUAGCGGCAGGCUUAAUACAUGCAAGUCGAGGGGCAGCGCGGGUAGCAAUACCUGGCGGCGACCGGCAAACGGGUGCGGAACACGUACGCAACCUUCCCAUAACUGGUGAAUAGCCCUCCGAAAGGAGGAUUAAUACACCGUAACAUAACGAAGAGGCAUCUUUUUGUUAUUAUAGUAGCAAUACGGUUUUGGAUGGGCGUGCGCCUGAUUAGGUAGUUGGCGGGGUAACGGCCCACCAAGCCUGCGAUCAGUAACUGGUGUGAGAGCACGACCAGUCAAAGGGGCACUGAGACACGGGCCCGACUUCUACGGGAGGCAGCAGUAAGGAAUAUUGGUCAAUGGACGAAAGUCUGAACCAGCCAUGCCGCGUGAAGGAUUAAGGCCCUCUGGGUUGUAAACUUCUUUUAUCUGGGACGAAAAAAGGGCAUUCUUGCUCACUUGACGGUACCAGAGGAAUAAGCACCGGCUAACUCCGUGCCAGCAGCCGCGGUAA
rnacentral:rRNA from 1 species